rnacentral:rRNA from 1 species
AUUGAACGCUGGCGGCAUGCUUUACACAUGCAAGUCGAACGGUAACAGGGUGCUUGCACCGCUGACGAGUGGCGAACGGGUGAGUAAUGCGUCGGAACGUGCCGAGUAGUGGGGGAUAACGCGGCGAAAGUUGUGCUAAUACCGCAUACGUACUGAGGACGAAAGUGGGGGAUCUUCGGGCCUCAUGAUAUUCGAGCGGCCGACGUCUGAUUAGCUAGUAGGUGAGGUAAAGGCUCACCUAGGCGACGAUCAGUAGCGGGUCUGAGAGGAUGAUCCGCCAAACUGGGACUGAGACACGGCCCAGAAUCCUACGGGAGGCAGCAGUGGGGAAUUUUGGACAAUGGGCCAAAGCCUGAUCCAGCCAUGCCGCGUGUCUUAAGAAGACCUUCGGGUUGUAAAGGACUUUUGUCCGGGAGGAAAUCCCCAGCGUUAAUACCGCUGGGGGAUGACAGUACCUGAAGAAUAAGCACCGGCUAACUACGUGCCAGCAGCCACCGUAAAAC